CCUACGGGUGGCAGCAGUGAGGAAUAUUGGUCAAUGGUCGCAAGACUGAACCAGCCAAGCCGCGUGCAGGAAGACGGCACUAAGUGUCGUAAACUGCUUUUGUCAGGGGACAAAUACUGCUACGCGUAUCCGGAUGAAAGUAUCGUAAGAAAAAGCAUCGGCUAACUCCGUGCCAGCAGCCGCGGUAAUACGGAGGAUUCAAGCGUUAUCCGGAUUUAUUGGGGUUAAAGGGUGCGCAGGCGGUCAGAUAAGGUAGGGGUGAAAUCCCGGGGGUCAACCCCGGCCCUGCCUUUGAAACUGUCAGUCUAGAGUUGGGGUGAGGUAUGCGGAAUGUGUGGUGUAGCGGUGAAAUGCAUAGAGAUCACGCAGAACUCCGAUUGCGAAGGCAGCAUACCGGACUACGACUGACGCUGAGGCACGAAAGCGUGGGGAUCGAACAGGAUUAGAUACCCGUGUAGUC
rnacentral:rRNA from 1 species